rnacentral:rRNA from 1 species
UGGGGAAUAUUGCACAAUGGGCGCAAGCCUGAUGCAGCCAUGCCGCGUGUAUGAAGAAGGCCUUCGGGUUGUAAAGUACUUUCAGCGGGGAGGAAGGGAGUAAAGUUAAUACCUUUGCUCAUUGACGUUACCCGCAGAAGAAGCACCGGCUAACUCCGUGCCAGCAGCCGCGGUAAUACGGAGGGUGCAAGCGUUAAUCGGAAUUACUGGGCGUAAAGGGCACGCAGGCGGUUUGUUAAGUCAGAUGUGAAAUCCCCGGGCUCAACCUGGGAACUGCAUCUGAUACUGGCAAGCUCGAGUCUCGUAGAGGGGGGUAGAAUUCCAGGUGUAGCGGUGAAAUGCGUAGAGAUCUGGAGGAAUACCGGUGGCGAAGGCGGCCCCCUGGACGAAGACUGACGCUCAGGUGCGAAAGCGUGGGGAGCAAACAGG